AGAAGCAAACAGGUACUUUUCUUUUGGCCCUAUAUGUGAGAAAUGAAUGUAAUAAUACGGAUGGAACGAAUCAAUAAGAAACAUUACAAAGGGAAAUUCGACUGCAAGUACGUUCAACGUCUCCUCCAUGUAAUCCAGUAUGCCAACAACAGGAUACCAUCGAACAACAUUUGCUUUAGCUUGUUCUAACGCCCAUGUGUCAUUUGGUUCCCUGAAGGAAAAUAUGUGCAAGAUGAAAAUAACAGGAUUUACUGAUACUGUUGCCUGCCGCAGAACUGAAGAGAAUGUUAGUGGGUCAGACUCGAUACACCGUAUGAUCCCCACAUCUUCGUCGUAGCUUAUGACCCCCACCGGUUGAUUAGGUGAAACGCAACAUUUCACUUUCCAAUGCAUACUGCAUGAGCCUUUUAUUCUUGCGU